rnacentral:rRNA from 1 species
AGUGAACGCUGGCGGUAGGCCUAACACAUGCAAGUCGAACGGCAGCACAGUAAGAGCUUGCUCUUACGGGUGGCGAGUGGCGGACGGGUGAGGAAUACAUCGGAAUCUACUUUUUCGUGGGGGAUAACGUAGGGAAACUUACGCUAAUACCGCAUACGACCUACGGGUGAAAGCAGGGGAUCUUCGGACCUUGCGCGAUUGAAUGAGCCGAUGUCGGAUUAGCUAGUUGGCGGGGUAAAGGCUCACCAAGGCGACGAUCCGUAGCUGGUCUGAGAGGAUGAUCAGCCACACUGGAACUGAGACACGGUCCAGACUCCUACGGGAGGCAGCAGUGGGGAAUAUUGGACAAUGGGCGCAAGCCUGAUCCAGCCAUACCGCGUGGGUGAAGAAGGCCUUCGGGUUGUAAAGCCCUCUUGUUGGGAAAGAAAAGCAGCAGGUUAAUACCCCGCUGUUCUGACGGUACCCAAAGAAUAAGCACCGGCUAACUUCGUG